UAAUGUGCUUUCUUUUUUUUUUUUCUUUUUUCCAAGCAAGGAUGAUGGUUGCUCCGGUAAGGGGAUUCGCCGACAACAGACUCCGGCGAGAGCAGCAAGGGUAGCUAGAUCAGGGAAAGGUUGUUGCUGGAGGUGCCGGAGGACAAGUAUUGCUCAGAGAUUCACUGGGAUUACCGGGGCGGUGACUGGAUUCGGUCAAGGAAAACCUGCACUAAUAAAAAUUCAAACGAAAGCAAAAUAACUGGAUCGGUGGAGGUCUCGAGCACGUCAAGGACGCCUGGAAAAUCUGCAAGAAAGUCGUCAAGCGUGGCCAUUGAACUUUGAUUUUACCGAUGAGUCACCAAAUCAGGUGAGAACUCUCGGAUAUACAAAUCUCUUCGUGAGUCUGAGCCCCCAAUGAAGACCUUGACCAAGCUUUUAGCCCACUUCUUUAACUCAAAAGGAAUAAAAAAAUAUGACGUCUUAUGUGCAUGCAAUGAGCGAUGAAACCGCGGGAUAACAUGCCAAAAAGCCUAUAGGAACAAUGAAAAUCAGGACUUCACAGGAUCGGUCUCCAUCGUAUGGAACCAAACACGUUGCCGCAACUUGAUGUGACCCAACCAAAAUUGCUCGUUGCAGGAAACUCGCUGGAAAGACCCGCAAGAGACACCUUCACACAAAUCUGAAAUUUUAGAUGGCUUGCUGGUGUCGUCAGCGACGUGAUGGGCAGCGGCGGCACACUGGAGCGGCAAGCUCAGUUGUCGUCGGCUCGGGCUGUGGAUCACAAACAGCAGCAACUUGGGCUUGCGGCAGCAGUGCAAGUGGUAAAUCGGCAACAAGAUCCCGCAGCGUUGCGUUGGUGUGAAGAUUAUGGCAAAAAAACUCGUCGAGUCGCGGAGAUGUAGGGGCUCGGUAGUAGUCGUCUAAGGAAGAAGACGACCCACACCCUGCCUCUUCAUCUCGUGUGUUCUCUCUGAAAUUAUUCCUUUCGACUUUUUCUCUCUGAAGCUCUCUCUGUGCUAUCCCCUUUCCGCAGAUGUAGCUCUUUACCUAAAAAAGAAAAGAAUUUUCCCUUCCUUUCUUUUGUAUUUUUUUAGAACUCUCUCACGCACGAAUUUUUUGCUCAACGGAUUCGCUCUCCAUUUUUUUCAAAAAAGUCCCCUCCCCCUUCAUACGAAAAAUGAAACUCCCUUUUAUACUAAUUCCGACCGGCCGCUUUGUAUGGCAUUUUUCGAGUUUCCAUCUUCCGUCGCAUUAAAUCAAAGCUGUAAAUCAGAGCAUGAUUUCGCAAUCAGCUCGAUCCUGCUAAGAUUUCUUCCAUUUUGCAAAAUUCUUGCCCUUUGUUCGCCAGAUUUUUCAAUUGUUUCUACAUUUGUCAAAAUCUGAAUAUUCAUCAGAAUUUCAAACUUCCAUGCAUAAUCAAUCAAAUCAAUCUUCCCCAUUUUUAUUUUUUUCUUCCUUUUAUUUGUUCAAAAUGCAAUUUUUAUUUUCCUUAUUUUCCUAGAUUUGCUAAAAAUAGGUGUCAACAGCUGCCCCUAUUUGAAGGUGAGCUCGUAGAGGUUGCAUUCAAAGACAAGUUGAGACCUAAUUUUAAUUAUGCACAUGCACUAAACAAUUUUUUUUCUUUUUGGUGGGAAGAUGAAUCCCAUUUUGAAAUGCAAUUUAUAUGAUGCAUGGAAAUGCUAAUGCAAAUGAUAAAGGAACUUACCUGGAAUUACUUACCUUCGGGGAUGGUAGAGUAACUCAAGAUAGAUUGGUGUUACAUGUCCAGGAUCUGUACCAUUCUACGGUCGCCCAAAAUAGUAACAUAGCUUCGUAAAGAAACUACUUUCCCAUGACCCGUACCAUUCUACGGUCGCCUGAACUGAGGUUGUCUAGGACCCGUACCAUUCUACGGUCGCCUUGACAAAAAAAUGAUUUUCCAGGACCCGUACCAUUCUACGGUCGCCUGAAUGAAAAAAGAUUUUCCAGGACCCGUACCAUUCUACGGUCGCCUGAGUUGAGGUUGUCUAGGACUUGUACCAUUCUACGGUCGCCUAAACGAAAAAAUGAUUUUUCAGGACCCGUACCAUUCUAUGGUCGCCUGAACUGAGGUUUUGCUUGGCUAGGACCCGAACCAUUUUUCGGUCGCCCAGCCUUGCGACAGAAAUCAUCCGACCAGGACCCGAACCAUUCUUCGGUCGCCUUAAUCAGAUCGAAUCUGGAGGAAAAAUAUUUAAUGUUGUCUAGGACCCGUACCAUUCUACGGUCGCCUAGACUGAGGUUUUGCUUGGCUAGGACCCGAACCAUUCUUCGGUCACCAGCCUUGCGACAGAAAUCAUCCGACCAGGACCUGAACCAUUCUUCGGUCGCCUUAAUCAGAUUGAAUCUGGAGGAAAAAUCUUUAAUGUUGUCUAGGACCCGUACCAUUCUACGGUCGCCUAGACUGAGGUUUUGCUUGGCUAGGACCCGAAUCAUUUUUCGGUCGCCCAGCCUUGCGACAGAAAUCAUCCGACCAGGACCCGAACCAUUCUUCGGUCGCCAUAAUCAGAUUGAAUAUGGAGGAAAAAUCUUUAAUGUUGUCUAGGACCCGUACCAUUCUACGGUCGCCUAGACUGAGGUUUUGCUUGGCUAGGACCCGAACCAUUCUUCGGUCACCCAGCCUUGCGACAGAAAUCAUCCGACCAGGACCCGAACCAUUCUUCGGUCGCCUUAAUCAGAUUGAAUCUGGAGGAAAAUCUUUAAUGUUGUCUAGGACCCGUACCAUUCUACGAUCGCCUAGACUGAGGUUUUGCUUGGCUAGGACCCGAACCAUUCUUCGGUCGCCCAGCCUUGCGACAGAAAUCAUCUUACCAGGACCCGAACCAUUCUUCGGUCGCCUUAAUCAGAUUGAAUCUGGAUGAAAAAUCUUUAGGGGGACAACUCAAUUGAGUGUCGGUAUGCUUAAAAGGGAAUACCUGUGCAAUGACAAAUAUUCAAGGUAUGGAUAUAGAUAUACUUACCUGGUCACAUCUCCGAUCUUCGAAGAUACGUCUCCUGCAAAACAUGGUCAUAGGAGAGGCAACAUGCAUUUGUAAUCAUAAACAUGCAUCAAUAUAAUGGAGGUUUAUGAUGAUUUCCAUUAAUCUUGCAUCACCUAAUUUCCAUUGGGAAGUAUCUCAAAAGAAAAUUCCAAUCUGAACACAUGAGUGUCAUGGAUGUGUCAAAUGAGGGAUCAUUUGGUCUGAAAGGACUUUUUCUCUCAUCCUCAUUAAAAUGGCGAUUUCAUCCUGACCUUUGAUGCAUGAUUUUGUCAAUCACUCUAUCUCACCAUCGUCAUGCUCAAACCAGGGUCUGAGCAAUCUCGCAAGUGGUACGAUCUUACCAAUCUAAGAGGUCUUUAACAAGGACCGUAAUGUGGGCCCGGUCAACGGCUUAACAAAAGGGACUCUUUGAGUCAAGGCUUUUGAAAGAAUGAGUGAUAUUCUGUAAUCAUCUCUGGGUAUACAAGUCAAGAACCCUGCAAAAUGAGAAAGAAAUAAUCUUGCUCGCACUUCUUCGAGUGAUACUUAAAACAUGUGAACCCCUAGGUUAAUUCAAGUGCCCUAAUCAGAAGAGACUUUGCAAGGGACGUAACGUAGGCUUGGUUCAUGGGUUGAGAAAUGAAAGGAUCAUUAGGCUCAAAAAGUGUUUAAGGGAGGGUCAAAGUUGGUGAUCAUCUUGACAUUUCCACCACUUUCCUUCUCCACUGUCGAAGAUUUUUUAUCACAACUCCAUUGAUUGCAACAUCUUAACAUUUGAGUUUUUUUCUUUUUUUGGGUACCACCUUGUUAGGGAUACGACUCGCUUCAUCAAGUGUUUGAUUUUUUUCUUUGGACAUUGGCCUUGCUUUUACCAGGCACACUGCUUUUCAUGCCCCAUUUUUGCACUUUUUUUUCUGGACAAAGUCUCCAUUUUUAUUAGCAUUGUAAAUCCUGCUAUUUGAGUGGUUUGAUUUUUCUUUCCUCGCCCCCGUGUGGGGGAUGAUCACCAAUUGGGUUUAAAGAAAUGAAAAUUUCAGGCUCAAGUGGGCUAUGCAAAGGGUAUAAGUAUGUAGGAUAGAGAAAGAAAUGCUCUUCGUCAUCCUAAGCCACUUAAGUUAACCCAUGAAUUCAAUGCAAUAGCACGACUUAAAGAUUGAUGCAAGUGAGAGCAAGAAAAUUUCAAUUCAUUUUUCUCACCUCAUGAUGCCAUUUCAUCUCCCAUUUGCCCCAAUGUGGGGUGAUUCUUGACAGGGGUAAUUCGAAAAGAAUAUCCAUAAGUGUAUGGGCUCAAAAGGGUUAAGCAAUGGAUCACCUGUAGUGUUUGGGAUAGAGAAACGAAUGCCUCUUAUCACCUUGGUUGACGUACCCUUUGCGAGAUAGCCCUCUUCCUUGCGGACAUGGAAUUUUUCACACAACUCACUAGGGGUUAGUGUAUGAAACAGUGUAUGGAACAAGGCUUGCCUUUCAUCAUUCCAAAGUAUCCCAUUUGACACAUUCAAUUUAUCUCACAUAAUUCAUCAAGGGAGAAAAAAUGCAAGAUUUGUAAAUUUAAACAAUUGAACUCAGUGAAGCAAUUUAUUCAUCAUUGAAAUGCUUGCAGUUCAAAAUAUGACAUGGCAAAUUCUAUCAUGGGUAAUACUUCUUGACAGCAUCUGAAUUAACAGGAGUGGAAAACUCAUGACCAUCCAUUUUUGCCAAGAUCAGGGCACCGCCAGGAAAUACCUUCUUUACCACAUAUGGGCCGCUGUAGCUUGGGGCGAACUUGCCCCUAGGCUAUGGAAUUGGAUUGGACCAUUUCCACACCUUCACAUGUUACAAGACUAUCUCUGAAACAAAAAGUGGAUGGGUCAAAAAGACAAACAGAGUAAAUCAAGUUUUAUUUUUAUUUUUGAUUUUUUUUUGAUAAAUUUUUUUAAAAGCAUUUGGAAAAGCAUUUUUUGAAAUAUUUUGACACGAGAAAGCAUGAUGAAGCCCAGGCCUCAGAAUUCUCCUCGGAUUUUUCUUCUCUUUUAUCGGUUGGAUAUCAUCAUCGGGCUGGUUUGGUAUACCUCAUCAUGCCCUCAAAUUAAAAUUUGUAAUUUUAUUGAAAUUCAUCAAUCAAUUACAUUUAUCGAAUGGAAAAAUGCCACACUUAAUCACUGAAAACAUCUCUCAGAAAAUAAUAGAAAUUCCCACGCAGGGGAAGGUGCAACCUAGCAUGCCCCGAGGAAAGUGAACUACUUAGGACCAUGAAUGAUGUAUGCUUGAGUUCUUCACCCUCCUUGAUUGUGUGAUGCGAACCCUUCAGGUCAGAGAUUCUUCCUUCUAGAUAUGUCAUUAGUCUCUUCAUGGUGGCAUCAAAUUCAGCUACCUCGGGAAAACGAGACGAUUCAAAAGUUCUCUUGGCUUUCUUCUUGGAGUCGUAGAUUCUUACUGAAGAUAGAGUACCUAUGUCAUCAUAGCCCUUUUGCUUAAUGAGAAAAGCCACAGUAGCAGACAAUUCAUCGACUUGACUUUGGAGGUGUGCAAUUCGCUUAUUUAUAUUGUCGAUGAUACGGUCUAGCACCUCGUUUCGAUUCGCCAUUUUAGAUCUCGACCGUGUACGGAUGGGUGAGCGAGAUCGCUUCAUAAUCACCUGAAGGAAAUAAACGGGAACAUGUAAGCAUGAGGUGUAAAUGGAGAGUCAAUCCAUGACAAUGAUCUAAUCGAUUUUUUUCAUUUUUUUUUAUUUAUUCAUGAAAAGUCUAUGCAAGAAGGAAUUUUCCUAAAAAAAAAUGCUAGAAAAAUAGACACCCUAGCAAGAUCAAAUUUCCUAGACAUGAAUUGAAAACAAAUUCUCCAAAGUUUUUUUAAAAUGCAUCAUUCCCUAGCAAUCUCUCAUUUCAUUUCCAAUUGACAAACGAAUCAAAUCAAUGAUUGACCUAGAUUGUCAUGGACCGACCCAAGAAUAUGACAAAAUAAAUUGCAUUGUAUAGGGAUAGAAGACUUACUUCACCAAGGAAAAUUAACAGCAAUCACAUAGACAGGCGCAUGAAGUGUGAGGCUCGAUUUCUAUCUAGACGGCUUAGCAAAGUGGAGUUAAAAGGGUGGGAUGACUUAGUAGCAGCCUCGCAUACUAAGCCAAGUCCUCCUAACUCCGGCUCAGUCAAGAAUGAUACCCCAAUGCGACGCAGCCUCGCGGGCAAAGGUAAACAUUCUUAACACCAAGAAAAACUUUCGAGAUUGAGUUGGGCAACCUCUACUAUGCGGCCUCGCGGUCGAAGUUGUAUCCAACUCAAUGCCAUCCUAUGUAUCCUAGUGCGGCCCAGGUCCGACGGCGGGUUGUGUGUGCAAAAGUGUAGUGAAAAAUGCAAAGCAUGCACUACAGUUUAUAUCAAGCAGCACUUCAAUAACUUGAAUUUAAAACAUUCAUUUCCAACUCCAACCUGCAAGACAAGGGUUAGUAAAGACUACUCCCCUUAUAUCUCCUCAUCUGCAAAAACAUUUAACACCUUAAAUGUUAGGGACGUACCUGGGAUCCUCGCUGCCAAACAAAAAUCAUUUUUCAAAAAGAAGAAAAUUGGCCUAAGUCCACUAAGUGUUUUAACACUAUUCCCCAGCGGAGUCGCCAAGCUGUCGCGACCUAUUUUUCCGGUGUGAACCACCUAGGGUUUGACUAAUGGAUUAUUAAGCCUAGACUUAAUUCGGGCUCUCCCAAGCCCAUACCAAUUCGCGACUUAAGUUCGAGUUCUUAACAUGCAAUUGAUUUUUUUAAUCAGGAGUCGCCACUAAUCUAUUUUUUGGUGGGGUCGAUUAGAAACCCAAGUAAAGUAACGGCAGUUUCACUUUACUCCUACGAACCAGAGAUUAUGGGUACGGGGACUUGGUUACACUAGAUUUCUCUAAUGCCCUUUCAGUACCAUUUCUUUUUAAUUUUUCAAAAUGUUUUUGCAGGCAGCUGAUUUAUUUUAACCUAUUUUCCUAACAUAUGAGGUGAUCAUGCGGGUACGCAACCCACCAAUUUAACACCCAGAUAAACAAUAAAUAAAUUGCAAAAACUUAUCUCAAAGCAACGAAAGCAUCUGCAAUGUUAAGUUAAAAACCACAUCGACAAUCCUGGAUAUGGUUUCUAAUUAACACGCAAUUUCUUUUUGUUUUCACUUAAUUAAUAAAAAUCAUGCAAUAUGCAAUGCAAUAUUAACUAAAUGACCUAAUUCUAAUGCCAUGCAAUUUCUAAUUAAUUGGACCUAACAACAAUAUCUAAAUGACAUGCAUUUCAUGAAUCUAUUUUUAAUUAUACACAAUGAUAUUUUUUCUUUUUCCUAAAAAUGCAAUCUAUCCUAGGGAAUAGAACUAAUUUAUUCUAAGACAUUUUUUGUAUUUUUUUUAUGAAAAUUCGGAAUUAGGGAAAAAUGUGAAAAUUACCUAAUUAGAUUAAGAUCCUAUUUAAUUUAUAUUAGGAAUUAGGUUGAGCCAAAUCCUAAUUUAAACUAAAACAUUAUCUUAACCUAAAUAAUCCUAAAAUGCAAUAUAUCUAAAAAAUACCUAAACUUAUAACAAAUUAAAAAAAUAUUAUCUAGAAUUGAACUAAGGGCAAUUUAGUCCUAAUAUGCAAUGACGUGUAAAAUAUGCUUUUACACUACAUGACAUGUAUAUGAUGAUUUUUUGUUUUUGUUUAAUUUCGAAAUUAAUAAUUGCUAAAUAAUUAAACAUGCAAUCCAAAUUAAAAAUCUAGCAACCUAAAUUGAUUGAUUUGACUCUUUUUUUUUUUAAAUUCGAAAUAAGAUUCCUAUUCUAAAUAUGUAAACCCUAAAACAUGCAAUAUUAUAACCCAAACACAUUUCAAGAUAAACAAAGCGAUCAUGACAAGCUAAACCAAGGAUAUCACACAUCAUUCAGAUCAAGGGAUAAUAUUUCGCUGAUAAAAUCGAUAAAUUGAUCUUAAGCCUUAAAGAUCAAAAUAUCAAUUUUAUUCCCGCUUAAUUAAUUAUUUCAUCUAAAGCCUUAUAGAUGAAAUAAAAAAAUCCUGGCGCGGUUGCGAAUCAGACGAUAUGUUGGAAUUUCCAAUCAUAUACUAAAGACUAAUUAUACUAAAAAAAAAAACAAGAUAAAGUAAAAUAAAAUAAACUAAAGAAAACUACCUAAUGUGCUUUCUUUUUUUUUUUUUCUUUUUUCCAAGCAAGGAUGAUGGUUGCUCCGGUAAGGGGAUUCGCCGACAACAGACUCCGGCGAGAGCAGCAAGGGUAGCUAGAUCGGGGAAAGGUUGUUGCUGGAGGUGCCGGAGGACAAGUAUUGCUCAGAGAUUCGCUGGGAUUACCGGGGCGGUGACUGGAUUCGGUCAAGGAAAACCUGCACUAAUAAAAAUUCAAACGAAAGCAAAAUAACUGGAUCGGUGGAGGUCUCGAGCACGUCAAGGACGCCUGGAAAAUCUGCAAGAAAGUCGUCAAGCGUGGCCAUUGAACUUUGAUUUUACCGAUGAGUCACCAAAUCAGGUGAGAACUCUCGGAUAUACAAAUCUCUUCGUGAGUCUGAGCCCCCAAUGAAGACCUUGACCAAGCUUUUAGCCCACUUCUUUAACUCAAAAGGAAUAAAAAAAUAUGACGUCUUCUGUGCAUGCAAUGAGCGAUGAAACCGCGGGAUAACAUGCCAAAAAGCCUAUAGGAACAAUGAAAAUCAGGACUUCACAGGAUCAGUCUCCAUCGUAUGGAACCAAACACGUUGCCGCAACUUGAUGUGACCCGACCAAAAUUGCUCGUUGCAGGAAACUCGCUGGAAAGACCCGCAAGAGACACCUUCACACAAAUCUGAAAUUUUAGAUGGCUUGCUGGUGUCGUCAGCGACGUGAUGGGCAGCGGCGGCACACCGGAGCGGCAAGCUCAGUUGUCGUCGGCUCGGGCUGUGGAUCACAAACAGCAGCAACUUGGGCUUGCGGCAGCAGUGCAAGUGGUAAAUCGGCAACAAGAUCCCGCAGCGUUGCGUUGGUGUGAAGAUUAUGGCAAGAAAACUCGUCGAGUCGCGCAGAUGUAGGGGCUCGGUAGCAGUCGUCUAAGGAAGAAGACGACCCACACCCUG
rnacentral:lncRNA from 1 species